CACACAUUGACUACUGUCAACACAGUGUCCAUCAAUACAGCAUUCACUGAGACAUUGGACAGCCAAACAGCCUGAUGGAUGUAAACGAGUAGGUGAAGUGUUUCUUGUCACCUUGACUCGAUCUUCUCUAUUCGUCGUCUUCGCUUCUGUCGGAACUUUUGGUUCAUCUGUAGUCACGAAGUUUGUAGUUGAAUGCUUAUUCGACGUGGGCCGAGUUGAAUUGUGAACACGGCUCGAACCCGUCAAAGAAAGCCUAUAGAAAGG